AUAAAACUAAGUAAGCGUAUAAUGCUUAGUAAGUUCGUAUAACAUUGUACUUAACUUACCAAUUCACUCUAUUUCAAGAUAAACAUGUAAGGCAAAUUCAAUCAAUUUGAUCUCAAGCCCUACACAUAUCCUUAUUACCCUUGUUAGUCAUACAUUCCACAAUAUCAUCAAGAAACAUAUAUGGGAUCCACAACAAUCAGAUUUCU
rnacentral:lncRNA from 1 species